AGUUUCAACGUGGCAUUUAGUCAAAGGAAAACAAAGAAAGUCUAACACCAAGUUUGCAUGAAGCUUUAACUCCACGUUGCAUUUCAAGAGCAAAGGUCAUUUUUGAGUCUUGCAUGGAGUUAAGGAAGUUUUCAGGCUGUUUUAAUUUCAUUUCUUACCUUCAAGAGCAGCAUGCUUGAAGGGCAGUGUUCAGAGGUACAUAAUGCAUUUGUCUUCAGUUAUAAAGGGAAGAAAGAGUGAUCUUCAACAUAUUCUGCAGUUCUCUUAAGUGCAAAGAGUCAUCAUGGAGUCCUCACGUGGAGGAUAUCAACCAAGUAGGAGACAGGCAUGUAAAGGCAAUGAGAUCAAACCAUGCAAACACUAUCACAGGUUUUCUUUAUUCCCAUAGUCUUUCUAACAAGAAACGAGUUCAUUUCAUGAAUUUGAAAGUUUUUGUCUAUUUUAUGUUCAUAAAAUGUAGUCGUAGUAUAAAAAAACAUGCUAAACAUGCUAUACCAACAUAGCCAGAGUGCUAUAUCAACAUAGCCAGAGGGCUAAUAGCAGCAAAAGAACUCUUACGAAAGUCUCAGUAGUUAGGGAACAAUGCAGAAUGCAGUCAUAGCAAACAUAAAAGAUCUGACCUAAAUAGCAAAUAUUGCGUGCUACCCAUAAAGAAGAUCCAUUAGUGGACAAAAGGAAAGAACAGUGGAGUUGUAUUGCAGCCAAUCCAUGCUCACUGUCCAGAUAAUAAAGAGCAGAUCAGGGACACAAGCAACAAGAAAUUCCUUUGAAAGCUCAACAUUCCAGUCAAAGAAAACACAGUACUAUGAUGUAGAACAAAGGAGCACAAAUAAGGAAGAAGGGCUUGAUAAUAAAGACACAGGUGUCUAUUUGUCUCGGAUUUAUUUAUCUCGGAACAAAUCUUUACCACAACCAUAGUAGGUAAUGAGGGUUUCUACACAUGGAAGAGAAGUCUAAAGACAGUCAAAAGGCAUGAGCAGCAAUAUGAGUUGUUCUGUAUUUAAAGGCUAAAAGCAUUAUGGCAGUGAGAAAAGAGUAGGCAUGGGAGUUUUACAAUGACAAUCAAGUAAACCAUGUGACAUAAUGAAAGAAAGCAACAAUUAGGACAGAAAAUACAGUCCCAAGGAAGAAGCAUUCAUGAAGUAUCAAGACUCAGGGCUAUUGACAGCAAUAGUCCAUAAAGGACAGUCAAAAGCAAAGAGCUAGAGCAUAAUUAGAUCUAAAAGCUUGCAAUCAUUGAUCAAGGGCAAACAUAUCAAAGGUCUGCAAUAAGGUCGGAAUAUCAACAACUAAGAGCAUCUGACAGUAGUAAGGGGAGGAGUUUCAAGAUUUUGAUAACUCCUGUGUAAGACGGGCUCUUCAAACAUCAAGACAAAAUGGAUGCAGUCAUCAAAAUGCAGUCAUGAUACCUUUCAUUCGCUGUUAAAAUGAAGCAAGAAGCAUGCUAAAUUUCAAGAGUUACAUCAGAGACCAAAACGAAGGAUGCCCAGAGAUCUAAACCCUGAAGAUUUUGUUGCAUUAAGCUCUAAAAUCAUUGCAAAUACUCUGUCACUGUCAUAUAUAACAGCCCUAAACAUGAAUGAAGUUAGCAGUAUAAAAUAGGGCACUAAAAUGAGUGUAACAUUGAUCCUAAAAUAAGGCACUAAAGUGAGCGUAACAGUCCAAUCAAGAUGAGACAGUCAUGCACCAGCAGAACAAGAGGUAAAAGAAAAGGGUUGAUGAUUGUGGUGAAUAGUCCUAUAGCUGAGAAUGAGUAAUGAGGAUGAGAUUGACCUUAUGGCAGUCAGUAUUUCCGCCCCGGGAAUUUUCAGCUGUUGGCAAGAAUAGCCUUGGAGAUGGUUCUGCUGGUGCAAAAGAUAGUCAAAGAUUUAUUUGUCUCGGAGCGAAUCUCUACCACGGCCAUAUUAGGUAAUGAGGGUUUCUACACAUGGAAGAGCAGUCUAAAGAUAGUCACAAGGCAUGAGAAGCAAUACAAGUUCUUCUAUAUUUAAGGGCUAAAAGCAUUAUGGCAGUGAGAAAAGAGUAGGCAUGGGAGUUUGACAAUGACAAUCAAGUAAAGUGUGUGACAACAAAGACAAUGAAAAAGCAACAAUUAGGACAGAAAAUACAGUCCCAAGGAAGAAGCAUUCAUGAAGGAAGUAUCAAGACUCAGGGCUAUUGACAACAAUAGUCCAUAAAGGACAUAGAGCUAGAGCAUAAUCAGAUCUAAAAGUUUGCAAUCAUUGAUCAAGGGCAAAACAUAUCAAAGGUCUGAAAUAAGGUGAGAAUAUCAACAACUAAGAGCAGUUGACAGUAGUAAGGGUAGUUUCAUGAUUUUGAUAACUCCUAAGUAAGACGGGCUCUUCAAACAUCAAGACAAAAAGGAUGCAAUCAUCAAAAUGCAGUCAUAAUACCUUUCAUUCAUUGUUAAAAGGAAGCAAGAAGCAUGAUAAAUUUCAAGAGUUACAUCAGAGACCAAAAGGAAGGAUGUCUCAGAGAUCUAAACCCUGAAGUUGUUGUUGCAUUAAGUUGUAAAAUCAUUGCGAAUACUCUGUCACUGUCAUAUAUAAGAACCCUAAACAUGAAUGAAGUUAGCAGUAUAAAAUAAGGCACUAAAAGGAAAAGGGUUGAUGAUUGUGGUGAAUAGCACAAUCAAGUUGAGACAGUCAUGCACCAGCAGAAAAAGAGGAAAAUGAAAAGGGUUGAUGAUUGUGGUGAAUAGUCCUAUAGCUGAGAAUGAGAUUGACGUUAUGGCAGUCAGUAUUUCUGCCCUAGGAAUUUUCAGCUGUUGGCAAGAAUAGUCUUGCAGAUGGUUCUCUGCUGGUGCAAAAGAUAGUCAAAGGUGUGUAUUAUAAAUCUUAUGUUUAAUUCUGCCUCAAAUUUACAAUAUGAUAUUAAGAGGUUUUCAUUGGUUAAAUUUUUAAUCAUUGAUGGUAGAACAAAAGAAACAAAGGGACAUUGACAAUAAUAAUAUGUUGCUAGAAA